CCUACGGGGGGCAGCAGUCGAGAAUCAUUCACAAUGGGGGAAACCCUGAUGGUGCGACGCCGCGUGGGGGAAUGCAGCUCUUCGGAUUGUAAACCCCUGUCAUGUGGGAGUAAAUUAAAAAGAUAGUACCACAUGAGGAAGAGACGGUUAACUAUGUGCCAGAAGCCGCGGUAAUACAGAGGCCUCAAGCGUUGUUCGGAAUCACUGGGCGUAAAGCGUGCGUAGGCUGUUUGGUAAGUCGUGUGUGAAAGGCGCGGGCUCAACCCGCGGACGGCAGAGGAUACUGCGAGACUAGAGUAAUGGAGGGGGAACCGGAAUUCGCGGUGUAGCAGUGAAAUGCGUAGAUAUCGAGAGGAACACUCGUGGCGAAGGCGGGUUCCUGGACAUUAACUGACGCUGAGGCACGAAGGCCAGGGGAGCGAAAGGGAUUAGAUACCCCGGUAGUC
rnacentral:rRNA from 1 species